GCACCGCGUCCCCUAUCAGGUGAAAUGUAAAUAGAAGAUCCUGUUACUGUCAGGCGGUUCUGACACCGAUGCUGCAUCCAAACGCAGGGUCUGAGCGGGGAUUCGGGCCAGACAGCUGCUCAUGGCGACAAAGCAACUGCAGCUCUGAACGACAGCGAACCCAUGUCGUGUCCACCGUAUGCCAGCGAGGACUAAACUCACAGUGCGAUGAUCGUGUGCACAAGGAGCUGUCAGCGUCACUCCAUCUCCUCUUCCCCCCAUCGCUCCUGCUGCAAUCCUUUUCUCCGCACCACGGGAUUCCCACUACUUCCCUCUCCAAUCUUGUUUCAUGGCAAGUGGCUCUCAAUGAGGGACCGGUGGAGGAGGUGAACGAGGCAAGCGCGUUUAGGGUCGAGAGGAGGAGUCACUCCCUCAUAAUGGAGAAUAUUUGCAUCACUGAAGGAGGAAAUAUGUGAAUACUCCACUUUUCGUGAUCAUGUGUCAGAUUAGAUAAAUGUGAAACCUCAGAGGUUGAGAGAAAAUGCCCCCCUCACAUGUGUAGUUGGUUUAGGGAAGCAUUUAGUUUGUUCUGAGACUCAUUUUAUGCCACAUUGCACUAGAUAAUAUUGCCAUAAUCUUAUAUGUAAACCCACUCAAAGCACAAGGUCACUGAUGAGCAGCUUUGACCAUGUGGACAUGAUAGAGGUGAUUUGUUCGGUAAGUGGGCACAUUAGCAUAAAAAGACAGUGAUCAUCUAAAAUGCAAUGCAGCAGUCACUGUAUGUAUCCUGGAUGGUUUGACAGCCACGGGGGACUUUUAGCUCAGGUCACCGUGCUCCCACAAACCUCAGCCCAUGUGUGUUAGUGCUUAUCAGCCCACUACAACCCAUGACCCUUCACCACGGAGGAAAGGAAUGUAUGGAAAGAGCCUUCCACCGCCACCCACGUGCAAGCGUGUCCAACAGAUUCAUCUGUUAUGUGGCUAAAAGUGGAAACAUACAGGAAACAUUUCCUUUGUUUUAAAUAACAAAACUUAUCUUGUCACGGGCGACGGAAUGAAAACAGUCGGCAAAAUGGCAGAUUCAUCAACUUCAAAUAAAAUGUGAAACAAAAGAGAAGGGGACUGCAGCCACAGAGCGAACAAUCCUCUGCUUUGCCUCCACAUGGCCCCUAAAACACCGACCCCCCUCAAGUCUGCCCCUCCCUCCAACGGCCCCGUUGAACCCGUGAGUGUGUGAGACCCCGCCUGCUCAGCGGCCACAACAAUAAUGUCUGCAGCGUCUCGCUGGGGAUUGCGAGUGUGUGUGUGUGUGUGUGUGUGUGUGUGUGUGUGUGUGUGUGUGUGUGUGUGUGUGUGUGUGUGUGUGUGUGUGUGUGUGUGUGUGUGUGUUUCCAAAGAGAAAGAGACCAUGAUAAGGUGUGUUUGUGUAGGCUUCCCCUGCAGAGACAUCAUUUCUUCUACCAUGUAAAUGUGUAACCAGAUUUAUUCAGAGUGUUUUUUGUUGUGUGUUCAGGACAAAGACUGCAGACACAGCAUUGGCUGGAUGGAAGGGGAGAUGUUUUCAAUGGUGCAAAACCAGCUCCAAAGAACACACACACACACACACACACACACACACACACACACACACACACACACACACACACACACACACACACACACACACACACACACACACACACAAAACAAAAAAUUAUAAAGUACAGAUCUGUGAGAACUGAAAAACAUCUGUACAUUCUUGUUGGGCUGCCGCAGUCCUGCUUUGAUGGGAGUUUGAAUUUGAAUGAAAGUGUCAUUAUUUCUGUUACUUUCUCCACUUGGAUUCAAGGCUGCACUAAGUGUUCGUCGCGACGCGAGCUUGAGAUUGAGGUCGCUCCUGAUGACGAUACACCGCAAAGCUGUCAACCACUGCAGAGCCGAUGGUUCUGACACCUCCUCAGAGGGAGUGUUUCGUCCACUGGGAGCCUCUCGACCAGGCUGCUGAAGGAGAAAGGAGGCCGUGAAUAGCUGAAGCUAUUGCGUCAAAGCUCCUCUUAGAUCCCAGUCUGUACAGAAAGUGUGUCAAGAGAUUUCUAGCAGCAACGACAGCAAAGUAAGGUCAAGUGAAUCAAUGGAACUGUCUCUGUUACUUUCCUUAUUAUAAACUCCUAUUGCUACAUUUCCUCCUCAUCAUCCUAUGAGCAUGUGUGCGAUGGUGAGUUUCUGACAGACAGAAUGUGUGUAGGCAGAGCCCAGCACUGAUGCGCAGGCUGGGACGGGAGGUCAUUGAAACUAGGAAGGAGCAUCACGUUAUUGAAUAUUCUCCUUCAGGAUCAUCGCUUUACUCAAUCUAAACCGUUUAUCUCUCGUCCUCCGCUGACCUUAUAUUUGAGUAACACACUUAGCAUGAGGUCCGGUUAUAUUUAGCAGAUCUUAAGUCAAUUCUGAGUCGACCUAUCAAACCCUCGUGUGUUUAAUGCGCUGAUGCACUGUUGGUGUUUUGCACGGCACACGCUGGUGGAUCUGUAGCAGGGUUUUUCCCAGUUUUCCCCUAUUCCCAACCUUUCCUGUUUCAUAAAAUAACAUAACAUAACCAAUGAUUAUAACUGUGACCUAAAGACCAAUGACCACAUACAAAAAAGAGGUCACCAUUGAGUACUUUAUGGAUGUAUUAUAUUAGAUAUUUAUUCAUUUCUUAAGUCCAGAUCUCAGUGUCUCCUCUUGUGCUCUGCUAACGUUUUCCUCUAAGAUGUCCUGAAACUGAACACGUCCUGAGCCUCCUCAUCUGCAUUCUCACUCAAUAAAAUGCGCUGCAUUAUCAUAAAACGCACCUGGCACCUAGAACUUACGGUACAAGCAGAAAUGCAGCCAAGGGGAGCGGACGCCCACUGAAAAUAACCAGAUCAUACGCUUGUGGCUGUCAACUGGCCAAUACCUUUCAUACAUCUGAGAAAAAAUCCAAUAGGGAAAUGAAUACGUGGUUUUGAUGAACACACGUAAGGGCUUGUCUUUAACUUCACCUUCAAAGGUGAUGGCCUCCCUCAAGGGGCCCAUUUAUGGAGAUAGAAUCCUACAAACAGUCCUGUUUUAAAUAUGAACUACAAUAUAAUGCAACACGCUCAAUUAUCCACCAUACGUCGCUACACAUAUACAUAAUGAAUAAAGCAAACAUGCAUAAUU